rnacentral:rRNA from 1 species
UUGACCUCGGAUCAGGUAGGGAUACCCGCUGAACUUAAGCAUAUCAAUAAGCGGAGGAAAAGAAACCAACCGGGAUUGCCUCAGUAACGGCGAGUGAAGCGGCAAGAGCUCAAAUUUGAAAUCUGGCCCCUCCGGGGUCCGAGUUGUAAUUUGCAGAGGAUGCUUCGGGUGCGGCCCCUGUCUAAGUGCCCUGGAACGGGCCGUCAGAGAGGGUGAGAAUCCCGUCUUGGGCAGGGUGCCCGUGCCCGUGUGAAGCUCCUUCGACGAGUCGAGUUGUUUGGGAAUGCAGCUCAAAAUGGGUGGUAAAUUUCAUCUAAAGCUAAAUACCGGCCGGAGACCGAUAGCGCACAAGUAGAGUGAUCGAAAGAUGAAAAGCACUUUGAAAAGAGAGUUAAACAGCACGUGAAAUUGUUGAAAGGGAAGCGCUUGCAACCAGACUCGGCCUCGGGGUUCAGCCAGCAUUCGUGCUGGUGUACUUCCCCGGGGCCGGGCCAGCGUCGGUUUGGGCGGCCGGUCAAAGGCCCCAGGAAUGUAUCGUCCUCCGGGACGUCUUAUAGCCUGGGGUGCAAUGCGGCCAGCCUGGACCGAGGAACGCGCUUCGGCACGGACGCUGGCGUAAUGGUCGCAAACGACCCGUCUUGAAACACGGACCA